GCCACAUCCCGGCCGCACCUUGGUAACUUCAGGGCUUUGCCUCUGUAAUCCAGAUUGAUUCUCAUUUUCUUCGUUUCAAUCAGCUUCAGGUUUAACGUGAAAAGCAGCAAGGUUUGCUCGGCUUGGGAGACUCACCCCUCUAGCUACAGCGGUGCUCAGCACAGCCCCUGUGCAUCCACGUACCUGCUCUGGAGCACAAUCCCAGCGGCGCCGCUCUCCUGCUUGCUCUGCUGGGUAUCCCGAGCGAAGCCUCCUCCGGGAAGGUCCCGCUCAUGCUGGGAUCCCCGGGCUGCCCCCGGCCCCGCAGAGCCGCCCGAGGGGAGCCCGGGCUGUUCCCCCUCUUCUUCAGCGGAGGAGAAAUGACGCUCUGCCGUGUGGCCGCUGCCCAGCUCCUUCUGUGCCUGUGGGAUGCGGAUCCUGCGGCCGCCCCCGGCGGGUCCCGGCGCCGCGCCCGCCCCGUCGGGGCCGUCAGCACCGCGGACAGCGCCGGGCGCACCGGGGACACCGGGGACAGCGGGGGACACUAAGGGGACAGCGGGGGACACCGAGGGGACACCGGGAGGGCCCCGGGGCUGGGCCGCCCCCGGCCCGCGGCGGGGCCCGGCUGCCGGCGCUGACGUGCUGGUUGCCAUGGCGAGCGCGGCGGCUGGAGAGGAUGCUUUUCUCCCACGAUGGUCGCCAUGGGACCCCGCCGAUUGAAAGGAACGGAGCGAAUGAAUAAGAGGAGGGAGGUGGGGAGAAUAUUUAACUAGUUUCCUCCGGGAAUUUGUGCCUCUCUCUCUCUCUUUUUUUUUUUUUUUUUUUUUUUUUUAUAAUUCCCAUGUGGAUACUGAAA